rnacentral:rRNA from 1 species
CCUACGGGAGGCAGCAGUGGGGAAUAUUGCACAAUGGGGGAAACCCUGAUGCAGCGACGCCGCGUGAGUGAAGAAGUAUUUCGGUAUGUAAAGCUCUAUCAGCCGGGAAGAAAAUGACGGUACCUGACUAAGAAGCCCCGGCUAACUACGUGCCAGCAGCCGCGGUAAUACGUAGGGGGCAAGCGUUAUCCAGAUUUACUGGGGGUAAAGGGAGCGUAGACGGCAGCGCAAGUCUGGAGUGAAAUGCCGGGGCUUAACCCCGGAACUGCUUUGGAAACUGUGCAGCUAGAGUGCAGGAGAGGUAAGUGGAAUUCCUAGUGUAGCGGUGAAAUGCGUAGAUAUUAGGAGGAACACCAGUGGCGAAGGCGGCUUACUGGACUGUAACUGACGUUGAGGCACGAAAGCGUGGGGAGCAAACAGGAUUAGAUACCCGAGUAGUC